rnacentral:rRNA from 1 species
GCAUGCCUUACACAUGCAAGUCGAACGGCAGCACGGGAGCAAUCCUGGUGGCGAGUGGCGAACGGGUGAGUAAUAUAUCGGAACGUGCCCAGUCGUGGGGGAUAACGCAGCGAAAGCUGUGCUAAUACCGCAUACGAUCUCUGGAUGAAAGCGGGGGACUCGCAAGAGCCUCGCGCGAUUGGAGCGGCCGAUAUCAGAUUAGCUAGUUGGCGGGGUAAAAGCCCACCAAGGCGACGAUCUGUAGCUGGUCUGAGAGGACGACCAGCCACACUGGAACUGAGACACGGUCCAGACUCCUACGGGAGGCAGCAGUGGGGAAUUUUGGACAAUGGGCGAAAGCCUGAUCCAGCAAUGCCGCGUGCAGGAUGAAGGCCUUCGGGUUGUAAACUGCUUUUGUACGGAACGAAACGGUCUGCCCUAAUACGGUGGGCUAAUGACGGUACCGUAAGAAUAAGCACCGUCUAACUACGUGCUAGCAGCCGCGGUAAUACGUAGGGUGCGAGCGUUAAUCGGAAUUACUGGGCGUAAAGCGUGCGCAGGCGGUUAUAUAAGACAGAUGUGAAAUCCCCGGGCUCAACCUGGGACCUGCAUUUGUGACUGUAUAGCUAGAGUACGGUAGAGGGGGAUGGAAUUCCGCGUGUAGCAGUGAAAUGCGUAGAUAUGCGGAGGAACACCGAUGGCGAAGGCAAUCCCCUGGACCUG